AUUGAACGCUGGCGGCAUGCCUUACACAUGCAAGUCGAACGGUAACAGGUCUUCGGAUGCUGACGAGUGGCGAACGGGUGAGUAAUACAUCGGAACGUGCCUAGUAGUGGGGGAUAACUACUCGAAAGAGUGGCUAAUACCGCAUGAGAUCUACGGAUGAAAGCAGGGGAUCGCAAGACCUUGUGCUACUAGAGCGGCCGAUGGCAGAUUAGGUAGUUGGUGGGAUAAAAGCUUACCAAGCCGACGAUCUGUAGCUGGUCUCAGAGGACGAUCAGCCACACUGGGACUGAGACACGGCCCAGACUCCUACGGGAGGCCGCAGUGGGGAAUUUUGGACAAUGGGCGCAAGCCUGAUACAGCAAUGCCGCGUGCAGGAUGAAGGCCUUCGGGUUGUAAACUGCUUUUGUACGGAGCGAAAAGCCCUGGGUUAAUACCCUGGGGUCAUGACGGUACCGGAAGAAUAAGCACCGGCUAACUACGUG
rnacentral:rRNA from 1 species